rnacentral:rRNA from 1 species
UACGUAGGGUGCGAGCGUUAAUCGGAAUUACUGGGCGUAAAGCGUGCGCAGGCGGUUUUGUAAGCCAGAUGUGAAAGCCCCGGGCUUAACCUGGGAAUGGCAUUUGGGACUGCAAGGCUUGAGUGCGGCAGAGGAGACUGGAAUUCCUGGUGUAGCAGUGAAAUGCGUAGAUAUCAGGAGGAAUACCGAUGCGAAGGCAGGUCUCUGGGCUGACACUGACGCUCAUGCACGAAAGCGUGGGGAGC